AUGAUCAAGGAAUUUGUGAGGUUUACAUUAUCUUCGCAAGAGUUGUAUUGUUCACUUAGACCUAGACAUGCAAGUAUAUUUCUAGGCGAAAACAUAAUGUUAAAAAUUGCGGAUUUUUGUCUCUCAAGUUGCUUGGAGGAAAAUCAAAGCCAGGCUAUUGCUUCAAAACAGUUUGGAUCUAUGUAUGAAAGAAGGGACAUUGAUGAACUGGGUUGGAUUUACUUUGACUUGCAAACUUGUUUGCAUGUUAUCAUCAGGUAUGUAUAUAUCAUAAUCUAUGCUUGCAAUACACACUUGCAACUUGGGGAAUAG
rnacentral:rRNA from 1 species